CAUGUCUCAGUACAAGCCAAAUUAAGGUGAAACCGCGAAAGGCUCAUUAAAUCAGUUAUGGUUCCUUAGAUCGUACCACGCAAUUACUUGGAUACCUGUGGUAAUUCUAGAGCUAAUACAUGCUAACAGAGUCCCGACCGGAGACGGAAGGGGCGCUUUUAUUAGAUCAAAACCAAUCGGCGGCGAGCCUUCGCGGGUCCGUCGCCGUACGUCUUGAUGAAACUGAAUAACUUUUUGCUGAUCGCACGGUCUCGCACCGGCGACGCAUCUUUCAAAUGUCUGACUUAUCAACUGUCGAUGGUAGGUUCUGCGCCUACCAUGGUUGUAACGGGUAACGGGGAAUCAGGGUUCGAUUCCGGAGAGGGAGCCUGAGAAACGGCUACCACAUCCAAGGAAGGCAGCAGGCGCGCAAAUUACCCACUCCCGGCACGGGGAGGUAGUGACGAAAAAUAACGAUACGGGACUCAUCCGAGGCCCCGUAAUCGGAAUGAGAACACUUUAAAUCCUUUCACGAGGAUCAAUUGGAGGGCAAGUCUGGUGCCAGCAGCCGCGGUAAUUCCAGCUCCAAUAGCGUAUAUUAAAGUUGUUGCGGUUAAAAAGCUCGUAGUCGAAUCUGUGUCGCGCGCCGCCGGUUCAUAGCUCGCUGUGUCAAUUGGCGUGUCGCGCGACGUCCUGCCGGUGGACUUAGCUUCGGCCCGUUCGCGCGCGGUCGAGGCGGUCCAAGUUUUACAUCCCGCCGCGGUGCUCUUCGCUGAGUGUCGAGGUGGGCCGGCACGUUUACUUUGAACAAAUUAAAGUGCUUAAAGCAGGCUAAAAGUUUGCCUGAAUAUUGUAUGCAUGGAAUAAUGGAAUAGGACCUCGGUUCUAUUUUGUUGGUUUUCGGAACCCCGAGGUAAUGAUUAAUAGGAACGGAUGGGGGCAUUCGUAUUGCGACGUUAGAGGUGAAAUUCUUGGAUCGUCGCAAGACGAACUAAGCGAAAGCAUUUGCCAAAAACGCUUUCAUUGAUCAAGAACGAAAGUUAGAGGUUCGAAGGCGAUCAGAUACCGCCCUAGUUCUAACCAUAAACGAUGCCAGCUAGCGAUCCGCCGACGUUCCUCCGAUGACUCGGCGGGCAGCUUCCGGGAAACCAAAGCUUUUGGGUUCCGGGGGAAGUAUGGUUGCAAAGCUGAAACUUAAAGGAAUUGACGGAAGGGCACCACCAGGAGUGGAGCCUGCGGCUUAAUUUGACUCAACACGGGAAAACUCACCAGGCCCGGACACCGGAAGGAUUGACAGAUUGAGAGCUCUUUCUUGAUUCGGUGGGUGGUGGUGCAUGGCCGUUCUUAGUUGGUGGAGCGAUUUGUCUGGUUAAUUCCGAUAACGAACGAGACUCUAGCCUGCUAAAUAGGCGUAUGAUCGACAUCUUAAAGGCCCGCGUCGGGCCGUUCGGGCGGUUCGCGCCGUCCGUCGGUCCAGGCGCGCGGUUUUUACUGUCGGCGUAAAUUAAAAUCUUCUUAGAGGGACAGGCGGCUUCUAGCCGCACGAGAUUGAGCAAUAACAGGUCUGUGAUGCCCUUAGAUGUCCUGGGCCGCACGCGCGCUACACUGAAGGAAUCAGCGUGUCUUCCCUGGCCGAGAGGCCCGGGUAACCCGCUGAACCUCCUUCGUGCUAGGGAUUGGGGCUUGCAAUUGUACCCCAUGAACGAGGAAUUCCCAGUAAGCGCGAGUCAUAAGCUGGCGUUGAUUACGUCCCUGCCCUUUGUACACACCGCCCGUCGCUACUACCGAUUGAAUGAUUUAGUGAGGUCUUCGGACAGGUGCGCGGCGACGUUUCGACGUGGCCGAUGUUGCCGGGAAGAUGACCGAACUUGAUCAUUU
rnacentral:rRNA from 1 species